UACGGAGGAUGCAAGCGUUAUCCGGAAUUAUUGGGCGUAAAGCGUCCGCAGGUGGCACUUCAAGUCUGCUGUCAAAGACCGGGGCUUAACCCUGGAAAGGCAGUGGAAACUGAAGCGCUAGAGUGUGGCAGGGGUAGAGGGAAUUCCCGGUGUAGCGGUGAAAUGCGUAGAGAUCGGGAAGAACAUCGGUGGCGAAGGCGGGUCUCUGGGCAGUAACUGACGCUGAGGAGCGAAAGCGUGGGGAGCGAACAGG
rnacentral:rRNA from 1 species